UCUGUCAUCGAUAUUCAUAUUUACACCCGGUUUAAAUAUCUUUACAACAUAGGGAUUAAUUUCAAAUGUUCGUAAAAAAUUAAACAAUAAUAUUUGCACAUGCAAUAUAGUAGAGUGUUUCUAAACUAAAGCGAAUAUUCAAUUAAAUAUCAGUUGAAAGAAGAGACAAAUUAAUUUAUUUUUUUACAAUUUUAUGUGGAUUUCAAUACAGCUUCUGUAAGUUAACAGAGGAAAUCGAAACUGUCGUCGAUGCAAGUUAAUCAAUAACUACAGUCAGCAAUAAAUUUAAACCGUUGGAGGCGCCACCGAAGCUGUUGAUACGGAUAUCUGAUGGCUGAUGACAUCAAAAGAAGCUGAGCGCCAGCGGGUAUCAAGCGCGUCACAUUUGCGGUUAAGACGGUAUUGCAACUGAGACCACAAGUGAAACAAAACGAAUUGCAGUCAAAGGGGAAAAAGUAUAACCGCAAAUGGCUUUCUGUAAUUUUUGGACUUUUUGUGAACUUAAACGUAUCGGUAGUUAUUAUGAGCAAUACACUUUUUAGUAAACGUUUCGAUUCUGUUAUUGUUUCGUUUUGUUUCGGAGCAAAUGACAUUGAAAUUAA